AAUGAGUGGCUACAUAGACAAUGUCAUAAACCAAAUGACGGUUUAUUCUUCAGAGAAGCAUCGUUGCAGUGGAAGAGUUUGGAUGAGAACAAGGCGCUACAAAUCAAUCAGGGAUUUGUUCUGUAGGCCUGUCAGGUCUAUAAAUAGCUAGACUCCUGCUUACCAAGUAGUGGAUGGAUGUACAUCUCCAGGCACAUUUGGAUUUACUAUUUCACUUGAACAGUUGGUGUUUACUGGCAGCAACAAGAACAAAAUUUAUAGCAGCAAAUGGAAGCUGAACUCGCAUGCUGGCUUUGCACUGAAGAACUUUGUGUUUGCCAUUUCCUAAUUGUGAAAACAAUAUGUCCAAGAUUUUGCAGUCAUCAGCAUUCUGAUGUAACGACUUCCAUCUGGUCAAAGGAAGAAAUUCAGAACCUCUAUCUCCUUUUGAAUUCUACUUCAGUGCAAAGGUAACUGGCUUAGGAGAAUGUUGGAAGACAAGAAAUUCAGACAAUACAUUCUGAAAAGCGACUAUAACAUCCACUUUUCCAGGGGAUAAUUUUCCUGAAGAGCAAACAGGGGUAGGGAAUUUGUCACGAUCUUCUUAAUGGAAGCGGCUCUAAUUGGAGCAAGAUGACAGGAUUACUUGGAGGUGAGAGAGGAUAAAGAAAGCAGGAUGAUUUGUGGCGCGUUCCAAUCGGAGGUAAUAAGAAGUCAGAGAUCCACAGAGACCAUGCAAUUGGAGACCAAUACGAAGGCAAUGGAGGCCAACAACGUGGUAAUAAGAAGUGGUUUAACAUCCCAUCUCAUCCCAUCUGGCAUUCAGAAUUUGGCACUGGUUAUUGAAAUAUGAAGCUCCUGAUGGUCCUCACACUCCUACAGUGACCUUCUUCACUCAUUAGCCAGGAGUUGAAGC
rnacentral:lncRNA from 1 species